rnacentral:rRNA from 1 species
UACGUAGGGUGCGAGCGUUGCCCGGAUUUAUUGGGCGUAAAGGGCGCGCAGGCGGCUCGGCACGUCCGUUGUGAAAUCGCCCGGCUCAACUGGGCGGGGUCAGCGGAUACGGUCGAGCUUGAGCAAGCCAGGGGCAAUGGAAUUCCCGGUGUAGUGGUGGAAUGCGUAGAUAUCGGGAGGAACACCAGUGGCGAAGGCGACUACCUGGCCCAUUCUUGACGCUGAGGCGCGAAAGCUAGGGAGCGAACGGG